rnacentral:rRNA from 1 species
GAUGAACGCUAGCUACAGGCUUAACACAUGCAAGUCGAGGGGCAGCAUGGUCUUAGCUUGCUAAGGCCGAUGGCGACCGGCGCACGGGUGAGUAACAUGUAUCCAACCUGCCGUCUACUCUUGGACAGCCUUCUGAAAGGAAGAUUAAUACAAGAUGGCAUCAUGAGUUCACAUGUUCACAUGAUUAAAGGUAUUCCGGUAGACGAUGGGGAUGCGUUCCAUUAGAUAGUAGGCGGGGUAACGGCCCACCUAGUCUUCGAUGGAUAGGGGUUCUGAGAGGAAGGUCCCCCACAUUGGAACUGAGACACGGUCCAAACUCCUACGGGAGGCAGCAGUGAGGAAUAUUGGUCAAUGGGCGAGAGCCUGAACCAGCCAAGUAGCGUGAAGGAUGACUGCCCUAUGGGUUGUAAACUUCUUUUAUAAAGGAAUAAAGUCGGGUAUGUAUACCCGUUUGCAUGUACUUUAUGAAUAAGGAUCGGCUAACUCCGUG